rnacentral:sRNA from 1 species
ACAUUGAUUCUCUCCUCUCCUCUUCCAGGUUUGAGAAACCCUCCAAGACCCCUCUUGGUGCCUGGUCCCUCCAGCACAGGAAGCAAUGACUCAGAUGGCGGCCUUUUUGCUGUCCCGACAACCUUGCCACCCAACAGCCGACAUGGGAAGUUCUUCUCUCCCAGUAAAGAAGCAGAGCUGACUUUCCGCCAGCAUCUGAACUCCAUCAGCAGAACACUGCUCCCUAGACCAUCGGAAAACCAGUCCCACAACGUUUGUUCCUUCUCCAUCCUGUCUAACUCUUCCGUAACUGGUGCUAUCGACUUAGCAGCUACGAGUGCCGGCAUUCUCUCUGGGAACCCCCUCCCUGCCUUGGACACCGAGGGCUUGUCUGGCAUCUCUCCACUGUCUUCAGACGAGGUGACGGGUGCCAUCUCGGGGCAGGACUCCACUGGAACUCACCAGGAUGGAGAUGCCCUCCCCACUGUGGGGGGCUCAUCUGUUCUCUCCCUAUCUGAGCUGCCCAAGGCCCCUCUCCAGAAUGGCCUCUCCACACCGCUGUCCUCGUCAGAGAACUCCAGCACCCGGCUGUCU